rnacentral:lncRNA from 1 species
AUUCGGUGGAAAUGUUAACUACUAACCAUGUUUCACAUUUAUUUACAUGUAUCACGACAAUCCAGCUGGCACCCUUUUGGCUGUCCCCAGUGUAUGCGGAGACCCGGCGUGGAAGAGCCCCUUUCAGGGGUAGCGUUCUACCAUGUUCCCGGUGCAGGCCCCUGGCAGCAUCCUGGGUGGCUUUCUAGUCUGCAUGUGGGCACAGCUUGUGGCACGAGGAAACCCGUACGGUGCAGGGGCGGCUCCCCUGGGAGGAGACCUGGCCAGUCUCGGGAGCCUGGGCCAUGACUACGGCUGCUGCUUCCUUACCUGGAGACCCAGAGGCGCCCCUUUCCUUGACAGAGUAACAAGAAACUUAAAACCAAAGGAACAAGGUGCCCAACAGAUCAUCUGGACUCUUCAACCAUUUCUUUGAGGAGCUGCAACGCCGUAGAAGGGGGUGUCACUUGCUUUAAGGAGUACAGCCUGACCAGAUGUGCUGAGAAAAUUUGGUUUCCCCUGAAAAUGUACAUCUGUCAAAAUUCCUGUCAAUUUUAGCACGACUGCCAAGGGAGUGAAACAAAGAGAGUUAGCGAUUAACUUCAAAGAACUUUGUUGGAGAGGAAUAAAGAUAUUUAAGGUCUAUUUUGUGAACUAAUU